CACGUAGGGGGCGAGCGUUGUCCGGAAUCAUUGGGCGUAAAGAGCUCGUAGGCGGCUCAGUAAGUCGGGUGUGAAACCCCCAGGCUCAACCUGGGGACGCCACUCGAUACUGCUGUGGCUAGAGUCCAGUAGAGGAGUGUGGAAUUCCUGGUGUAGCGGUGAAAUGCGCAGAUAUCAGGAGGAACACCGGUGGCGAAGGCGGGUCUCUGGGCCGAAAUUGACGCUGAGGAGCGAAAGCGUGGGGAGCAAACAGG
rnacentral:rRNA from 1 species